GGCAUGUAAAUUUGUUGUAGUGAGUGGAAGCAGGAGGGUGCUGAUCCUGUGGCUGUUCUAUUUGCAAGCAUCAAGGUCUUGAACUUCAUGCGAACCGCAACCUGUAGCCAGUGCUGGUAGAUAAAGAGAGGUGUGACAUAGGCACUUUUGGGCUUGUUGAAGACCUGUCGUGCUGCUGCAUUCUAAAUCAUUUG